rnacentral:lncRNA from 1 species
CCUUCAGGUUUUUCACUAUUCCAAUUUUGGAAGCCUCUCUACAGAAUUUCCAGAUUGGGUUUGGGCCAAAGCUCUGCAUUAUUUGCAUGGGAUCUCGGGGGUCAAAACAGUCAAACCGCACCAUUCCUUCGAGAAAGUUUAUGGCCAGUAAGUGUCACUUUAAUUUGUAUGACGUUCCCUCCCUUCUUUUUACCCUUUUGCUUUUCCUUUGCUCAUAAUUACACUUGUCCACCACUAUUACCUCCUACCCUCCCCACGGAUGAUCUUCCUUAAUAACAGAGUUUUCCAACACUCUUCUUCUGUACAACAAAACAGAGAUCAGAGACAGGUUUGGUUAGAAAGAGAGGAAGGGAAAGAAAGGGGUGAUUCCAUUUCAGUGCUUAGCCAGACCAAAUGGAUGCUCUCUUACAUUCUCUGUAAGUAUGCUGCUUUUUACAUUCUUGUUUUUCUUAUGUUUCCUUUGGUUUUCUCCUCUUCGAAAGAAAGAGAAAACAUCAGUUUGAUAAUGCUCCGAUUUCUGGAAGAUAUGGAAAUAUUGCAUUAAAAUUGGCUUGCUAUCUCAAGUGUUCUCUGCAAUUUUUUUUUGCCUGUUCUUUUCAGUGUACGGGUUUUCCAAAGAUCCAAAACGAUUCAAGUUCAUGAUUCCAUUGCUACCUAGCUACCUGCAUCGUGUUUUUCAUCUGUAACAAACUGUCACAUCUUCUGUCUAUUUAGAUUUCAUAAUGGAUGAACUCAAAUUGGGGAAAUUGUAUAAGAAAAGAGUCAGAGAGAGCUAAUAAUGCACACCAAAGCCAAAACACAUUUUCACUCAAAUCACAUCGAGUAUCAUUACAUUAGAAAUCAGGAUAGAAAACCACAAAAAACUUAUUCUAUACCCUCUGCACACCGGACAACAUCAAAUAGGAAUCGAAUCAAGUGGUUAAUCCUCCUUCACUAUGACUUUUUUUUCUUCCUCUGUUUCUUUUAUCAUAUGUAGGCAAGCUGCCAAUGUAUAAUUACACUCUAAGGAUUUUAUAUAGAAGGUUCUGUACAAAAUCACAAAUCAAGGACAAAAACUGGAUCAGAAGGAUGGAAGAAGAGAUACCCGAAACCGCUCCGGAUGAGAUGACAAACAAAAGAAUGACACACACUAACAAGCACACACUGUUUUUAAUGUGAGUAUUAAGGUAGUACUCUCUAGUAGGAAAAAAGGGAAAUUAGAAGAGAAAAAUUAAUGGGGCUCAGGACAUCUUAUUGGAUGUGUCUGAGCUAGAAUGCACCAAAACAUUCUAAGCCAGUAGCUGGGAAUGCAGAUCAUUAAAUGCCUUGUUGUAAAAUUCCAGGCCAAGAUGGCUGCAAUCCUAGGAUGAAAAAAAAUGGAUGAAAACUCAACAUGAGCUAUGUUGCUCAAGGGAACGAAUGAUGAGAUAUAUUGACUAUAGACCAAUGUUGUUUUCAGUAUAAGAGAUGAUCAGAGGUUUGUUAUAGACUAUGGAGGAGGACUCGUUUGCAAGGUGGUGGUUGUGAAAGAUUGUUUCCUGGAUUAGGAGAAGGGGACUCCAUUCCAAGUGUCUUAAGUAGGAAGUUCCUUUCCUGAAAAAGAAACAAAAACAUAGUGGUCAGUCUCAUAUGAAAGUUCGAGAUAAUGUUCCUGCAGGUGUGUACGCUAGCAUUUCUAUAUUAGAUUAAGAAAAGGAAAAAACAAUACAAGUAGUGCAGAACUCUAUUUUGAGUUUCACAUGCUCACACUUUUAGAGCAAAACCAUAUAUAAGAGGGGAACAGACCGGAGGAAAUUUAUGAGUAAAUGGAAUUGCAGCAUGGACUGAACCAGUAUUACAACUUGAGCAUGAAUAAAACUCUAAAAUGUUUUUCAAAAUAAAAAUUUCCAGUUUAAAAAAUCCUUAUUGGAUUGGUUAGAAAUUUGUCAUCCAGACUAUACUUUCUAGCACGAUGGAGGAAAGUAUGAUUCAGUUAAGUAACUUCUUUUUUACUAUCAAGGAGCACUAUGAUCAAAGCUCACUUUGGCAAAAACCAGAAUCCUAGUUGGCCUCACUAUGUUUCUUAGCAUUUUUCUUAGAGCUUAGAUGGGCUGUUGUCUUGAGAUGAUGACACCUAGGCAAUAACUCACAGAAAUUUUGGGGUGUAGACAUGUAGUUGAAUUACAUACUCAUCUGACUAUUAAUUCAGUGAUUAGUUACUAAUACUUAAAAUAUCUUGCACAUACACCACGGUCAAUUGGUGGUUUCUCCACUUAAAUGUAGAAAACGUGGAUAACUACAAAUAAUGAGAAAAAUUUAUGAGUGGUAAACCAUUGAUGAAGAAAUGGGAAAAGCCUAUUGUAUAAAUAUGCGAGGGAAAAGAGAGAUAGAGAGACACAGCACAAGAAAAAAUGCUUAAUGGAAUUUGGUUUUCAGAAAGCACUCUGCAGUCCUUGUUAUUCUCUAAUCUACCCUUUUUUUCUCCCUUUUCACUCUGUAAUCUACAUUUUUUUUUGUUUAUUUAGUUUUUUUCUUAGUAUUUGGUAUGGCAGUUUCUGCAAAUAUAGCUGUAUAGUGUAUUUAGAAAUGAAAUGUUACUCUCUGAUUUGCCUGGCUGUUUGUUUUUUUCUAAUUGAUAGUGUUUUAAUUUGUGAUAGCAGGAACUUCAAUUUGACUCUGGUUUAAAAUUUUGGGCCACUUCAAUUUCAGACAAGAAUCUAGUAACAGCUUUGCCAUUAUCAUUUCCACAGAUGCUUUCAGCACUAGCCACAAAAGUUACUAAUGCCUUGCCAGUUUGUUAACUCAAAGUGCUCCUAACACUAUUUGACUAACGAGUUCAAAGUCCUAGCAAUGGUUCAAACAACCUCUUAACGGUGGCUGAGAAGUAUAUGAAAGUUCUGCUGCUACUGCUGGUAUAAAUAGAUGCAUAACUAUUAAUCCACACUGGUAUUGUUCUUGGUAGGCUAGGCACUGAUAAGCUCACAACUCCACUACAAGUAUAAGUGCAGAUGGAAUUAAAGUCUUAAGAAAGAUAAAACAAGAACUAGUACCUGCUACUGCAACUUAUAUUAUCUGCUAGAGCUCCAAUUCUUAUAAAAUGGAUC